UACAGAGGUCUCAAGCGUUGUUCGGAUUCAUUGGGCGUAAAGGGUGCGUAGGCGGCGCGGUAAGUCGGGGUGUGAAAUCUCGGAGCUUAACUCCGAAACUUGCAUUCGAUACUGCCGUGCUUCGAGGACUGGAGAGGAGACUGGAAUUCAUGGUGUAGCAGUGAAAUGCGUAGAGAUCAUGAGGAAGACCAGUGGCGAAGGCGGGUCUCUGGACAGUUCCUGACACUGAGGCACGAAGGCCAGGGGAGCAAACGGG
rnacentral:rRNA from 1 species